CCUACGGGGGGCAGCAGUGAGGAAUAUUGGUCAAUGGACGAGAGUCUGAACCAGCCAAGUAGCGUGAAGGAUGACUGCCCUAUGGGUUGUAAACUUCUUUUAUAUGGGAAUAAAACGUUCCACGUGUGGGAUUUUGUAUGUCCCAUAUGAAUAAGGAUCGGCUAACUCCGUGCCAGCAGCCGCGGUAAUACGGAGGAUCCGAGCGUUAUCCGGAUUUAUUGGGUUUAAAGGGAGCGUAGGUGGAUUGUUAAGUCAGUUGUGAAAGUUUGCGGCUCAACCGUAAAAUUGCAGUUGAAACUGGCAGUCUUGAGUACAGUAGAGGUGGGCGGAAUUCGUGGUGUAGCGGUGAAAUGCUUAGAUAUCACGAAGAACUCCGAUUGCGAAGGCAGUUCACUGGACUGCAACUGACACUGAGGCUCGAAAGUGUGGGUAUCAAACAGGAUUAGAUACCCCAGUAGUC
rnacentral:rRNA from 1 species